rnacentral:rRNA from 1 species
CGUCGCGGGCCUUNCAGCUUGUUGGUGGGGUGAUGGCCUACUAAGGCGACGACGGGUAGCCGGCCUGAGAGGGCGACCGGCCACACUGGGACUGAGACACGGCCCAGACUCCUACGGGAGGCAGCAGUGGGGAAUAUUGCACAAUGGGCGAAAGCCUGAUGCAGCGACGCCGCGUGAGGGAUGACGGCCUUCGGGUUGUAAACCUCUUUCAGCAGGGAAGAAGCGAGAGUGACGGUACCUGCAGAAGAAGCGCCGGCUAACUACGUGCCAGCAGCCGCGGUAAUACGUAGGGCGCAAGCGUUGUCCGGAAUUAUUGGGCGUAAAGAGCUCGUAGGCGGCUUGUUGCGUCGGUUGUGAAAGCCCGGGGCUUAACCCCGGGUCUGCAGUCGAUACGGGCAGGCUAGAGUGUGGUAGGGGAGAUCGGAAUUCCUGGUGUAGCGGUGAAAUGCGCAGAUAUCAGGAGGAACACCGGUGGCGAAGGCGGAUCUCUGGGCCAUUACUGACGCUGAGGAGCGAAAGCGUGGGGAGCGAACAGGAUUAGAUACCCUGGUAGUCCACGCCGUAAACGUUGGGAACUAGGUGUUGGCGACAUUCCACGUCGUCGGUGCCGCAGCUAGUCGCAUUGACACGUUCCCCGCCUGGGG